AUUGAACGCUGGCGGCAGGCUUAACACAUGCAAGUCGAGCGAGCGGCGGACGGGUGAGUAAUGUCUGGGAAACUGCCUGAUGGAGGGGGAUAACUACUGGAAACGGUAGCUAAUACCGCAUACCAUCAGAUGUGCCCAGAUGGGAUUAGCUAGUCGGUGGGGUAAUGGCUCACCUAGGCGACAAUCCCUAGCUGGUCUGAGAGGAUGACCAGCCACACUGGAACUGAGCCACGGCCCAGACUCCUACGGGAGGCAGCAGUGGGGAAUAUUGCACAAUGGGGGCAAGCCUGAUACAGCCAUGCCGCGUGUGUGAAGAGGGCCUUCGGGUUGUAAAGCACUUUCAGCGAGGAGGCGUUACUCGAAGAAAAAGCACCGGCUAACUCCGUGCCAGCAGCCGCGGUAAUAC
rnacentral:rRNA from 1 species